UUGAAUGAAAAUUGAGUGGGGUUGUAGCUGGCCUUGUUGUUGAGGCAUGUGCACACCUCAUUCUUCUUCUUACACACACCUGUGCACUUCUCAUAGACUGAUUCACAUCUGAAAUAGUGGUGAGACUUGGUCUAUGUGUUUCAACACACACGAUUAUGUUUUAGAAUGUUUUGUGAUGCGUUAGACAACGGCAUUUUGAAAUA
rnacentral:misc_RNA from 1 species